rnacentral:rRNA from 1 species
UCUACGGCAGGCCUAGCACACAACACGAGCGUUGUGAGAAGCUUGCUUCUCUGAGAGUGCGGACGGGUGAGUAACCCUCGGAAUAUGCGUGGUAGUGUGGGAUAACGUUGGGAAAUGCCGGUAAUACUUCAUACGUCCUACGUGAGAUAGCAGGGGACCUUCGGGCCUUGCGUUAUCAGAUGAGCCUAGGUCGGUAUUAGCUAUUUGUAUGAGGUAAUGGCUCACCAAGGCGACGAUCUGUAACUGCUCUGAGAGGAUUAUCAGUCACAGGGAAUUGAGACAGGUUCCAGAUUCUUACGGGAGCCACCAUUGGGGUAUUUGGCAAAUGGGGGAAUCCUUGAUCCAGCCAUCCCGCGUGUUUGAAGAGGUUUUUGGGUUUUUAAAGUACUUUAAUUGGGAAGGAAGGGUUUUAGAUUAAUACUGUGCAUUUUGGCGGUACCUGAUCGAAUAAGCACGGGUUAAUUCGUUCCCGCCAGCGGCGUUAUUACUGGGGGGCCAGGGUUUUCUGGAAUUUUUUGGGGUUAAGGGGGGGUUGGGGGUUUUUUUAAUUUGAAUUGGAAAUCCCCGGGUUCACCGUGGAGGGUCCUUUGAAAAUUGAAAGAUUGGAUUCUGAUGGGGAAAGGGGAAUUUUCUGGGGAACGGUGAAAUGGGGUGGAAUUUGGAGGGACCACCGGGGGGGAGGGGGCCCUCUUGUAUUUAUAUGGCCAUUAAGGGGGGAAGGGUGGGGGUCCAACCAGGUUUGGAUACCUUGUUGUUCCCCCCGUUAAAGGAGAUUAAUUAGCCUAUGGGGGUCUCUGCGCUUUUAGUGGCGCAGCUAACGCAUAAAGCUUUCCGCCUUGAGUAGCACUGU